AGGUCAACCCUGAUGUUCCAAAGAGAAAAGGAAGCAAGGCGACACCAUCAGCUGCAGGAGCUUCAGUCAGUUAUAGCAUUUCACCGCCUUUGGCUCAACCAAUAAUGCAACUGCAAUCUGCAUCUGAUCACUCUCAUCUCACAUUUAUUUCCAACACAGAGCCUGAUCUGUCUGCAGACAAAAAUCUUAUGAUGAUGUCUGAGCAUUGCACCUCGGC